AAAAAGGCAAACCCUGGGUUUCCGUGUCCAACUUUGACUGUCCGUCUUAUAUGAAAUUUUUUUAUAAUUCGUAUUUUCAUUGUUGUUAGAUGAUAAAACAUGAUUAAUAUUUUAUGCGUGACUUGUCUUUUUAUUUUUUUCAUAUUUUUUUCAAAUAAGACGAACGGUCAAAUGUUGGGCACGAAAACCAGGGUUUGUCUUUUU
rnacentral:pre_miRNA from 1 species